rnacentral:rRNA from 1 species
UGUGUUGCUUGCAAGGGCGUAUGGUGGAUGCCUUGGCAGACAGGACCGAUGAAGGACGUUUGAGGCUGCGAUAUGCCUCGGGGAGCCGCCAACAGGGCUUUGAUCCGAGGAUUUCCGAAUGGGGGAACCCACCGACCGUCAUGGGUCGGUACCGGCUUCGGCCGGGG